AGUUGAACUGCAACAGGAUCAGAGGGAUGGGAGAGGCAAUGUGAGAACAAGGUCAGGCAGAGGGCUCUUGCUGGAGAAGCUGAUUGGGCAGCAUUCUGGUCAGCCAGCUGUGACAGCUCAUCAAACAGCCAAGCCACAGACCACAGCAGAAAGGAGAACCAAGAGGAUGGAACCAUUCAGAGAGCUGAGGAUUUUUGCAAGCAGAAAAGCUAAUCGGAGCUGACAGCUGCUCCGUAGAGAAGAGGAUGAGACUGCGAGUUUGAAACCUUUCCUCUGGCCAAAGAAUGACUCAGCCCCACUUUCUUGAAAAAUAGGAAUUAAAGAGGUCAGAAAAAUAGGGAAGGACGCUUGCUUUCGGACAUGAAGAAGUGUUGAAGAUCACAACCAUGAAUCCACCAUGGUCUCCCUUGGGAAUGUGAAGAAUACUAUUCUGCUUUUGUUCCUACUUAUGAAUUAUGUCUAAUUAUGAUUUCUAGAAAUGGCAGGUUAUUUUAAAACUCUGUGAUGGACAAAUGUUGUGUGAAUCCAAUACAUGGCAAUUUUCAGAUGGCUGAGGAGGUGAGUACCUUACAGAGGCUUUUUUUUUGAAAUGUUUGACUUUCUUAAAUGGAGGUGCCCUCUCAUCCAGCCACAUCAACCUAAACCCUGAUUCGCACAGUGUUAAAUGCGUUCUGCCCCGUGUUAGUUUCCACAGAACGAAGCAGCUUUCUUCACUAACUGCUCUUGAAAUAAACUUCGAUAUAACAACCUGAUGACUCACAACACAUGAUUCAUUCUCUCCAGCAAAACAAAUGUUAUCAGAAAAUCUUGUGAUUCUUAUAAGCUCAAAUCCAGUCACAAAGCCAGCAUUGUUUCCUUUAAGUGAGUAUUGAAUUGGUUUAAUUAGCUUUUGCUAUCUCUAAAUCUUCUUUGUAGUAUUAAUAAAAAAUGUAACUAAGAAAACUUAUCAGUAUUGGGUUAGCAGGGGAAGAUAGCUAUGGUUUGGGUUUUGAAUUCCCAUUGACCAAGGUCUGAAAGGUUAGGCAGAGAGCCUCGCAUUGAUAGAAGACAGUGGAACUUUUAGGAGGAGGUUGUAGUACAGAAAUUUGGGUCAUUAAAGAGCAAGGCCUUGAGGUUGGUGUUGAAACUCUGGCCCAGUCCGUCCUUUUUUAACUUUCCUGACAUAUCUUAAGCCACAUCCUAGAAACAUAUUCAUAAACAUAUUCAUAAACAAUGAUAAGCCAAAGCCAGGGUGAUUGAAAAAUCACAAUCUCUUUUAACUUAGAAAAAUUACAUCAAAGCCAAAAAUUAGCAUUCUUACAUCUGUGCAUUGCCCAGCCAAUGUGCCUUGUGAGAAGACACUUCUUUCCUAUUUUGGGAAGGGCAGAAAUAUUAGAGAGUUUUUCUCUGAAGCUUCUGUAGUAUCUACUACUUAGCCACAAGUUAGCUCAAUCUGUUUGAUGAAUUAGCCUGUGUUCAGGAGAUUAGGGGAUCUGCCUAGUGAUAAGUGUGGGAACACUGAGUCCUGAGACACAGGGACAGUCAUGCUACUACUACUGGUCAUCAGAAUAUGUACCACAGGGUGGAGUUUCAUGCCUACCAUGACACUGUGUUCUACAUGAUCAGUUUUGCUCUGGCAUAGGAGACAGUUAAAAAUAUGAUUCUAUUACCCCUCAACAUCUAUCAAUGAUGGGAAUAAUGGGGGUAUUAUAGUUUUACAUUACUUUAAGUACACUCUUCCACUUGGAGCAGAUAUGAUACUGUCAGUGUUACUGAACUCAGGAAGACAUGAUGAAAGAGCUCUUUUUCCUUUCCCAAACAUCCACUGUGAAUGUUCAUUGUGAGGCUGCACACAUUAAGGAACACAUCAGGCAGUCAGAGAUGGGAUGGAUAGCAACUGUACAGAGUCAUUCCGAAGACAGUGAUUUCUUCAAGAUGCUCCAUCAGUAAAUGUCUCUGUGGUCAAAUAACUUUUGAAGACGUAACAUACAUUUCUAUUAUUAGACAUCUAUAAAAUGAAUAAACGUAUUUCCAACUCCAAGGAAGACAGUGAUAAAGAGCUGCUUAUAGCUUUGUAUCUUAUAUGCACACUGAACCACAAAAGUCAUUUUCUAUAGCUCCUGUAAUGUUCUACUGUUAAGGCUCCACCCACACUUCUAGAUAUACAAGUAAAGGGCAACUGACACAAUUACUUUUGAAGUGUUAAUCCUAGCAAUCCCUGAAAUAAUACAUAGUAUAGAAAAUAGAUGACUAGAACUCAAAUAUAUAUCACCAUCCAUAUAGCAUAUUGUAUAUACAUAUAUUCUUCUGAAUAUGAUUAGUAGCUUGUUUUCCCCAAAUUUUGAGGUAUUUCUAUCAUUUUGUAUAUGUUACGAGUGAUACAUUAUCUACUGUGUAAAAGAAAAUUUGCAUUCCUAUUAUAAAAACUAAAUUAAAAUUAUUAAAAAUUAGAUGGUUUAUCUAUGAAAAUAGUUUAAUAUUCAAAAUCACACUAAUUAUGACUUCUUUUCCUCCAUUUUUAGUGAUGAAUUAGAUAAUGUUUAUCUUCUUCCCUGACUAACCUUUGAACUUGACUAAGAUAGAGGCUGUAACUGGAUUUUUAUCUGCAUUCUCCUUGACAGAGCCCCUAAAACACAGACCGCCUUAUAUAUUUUUAUGUAAAUACCCCAUUAAUUUUAUUUAUCCCUGAAACACAGAACCAAAAUACUUCAAUAAUUGAUUUGAAGAUAUUAUCAAGACAUUAUUAAAAAAUCUUUGUCCUGUUUGCUGAAUUGCUCAUCCCAUCUCCAGUCUUGUUAUUCAACUCAAACUUGUCAUGGAACAAGGACAUUGGGAGAUCUUGUUCCUGACAGACUUUGUCAGUAUAUGCUGGCAUUUGAAUG